rnacentral:rRNA from 1 species
GACGAACGCUGGCGGCGUGCUUAACACAUGCAAGUCGAACGGAAAGGCCUGCUUUCCCUUGUGGAUUGCGGGUACUCGAGUGGCGAACGGGUGAGUAACACGUGAGUGAUCUGCCCCCAACUUGGGUAUAAGCCCGGGAAACUGGGUCUAAUUCCCGAUAGGACUGCAGGGUGGUGCCUGUGGUGGAAAACGAUUUUCUAGUGGUUGGGGAUGAGCUCGCGGCCUAUCAGCUUGUUGGUGGGGUAAUGGCCUACCAAGGCGGCGACGGGUAGCCGGCCUGAGAGGGUGGACGGCCACAUUGGGACUGGGAUACGGCCCAGACUCCUACGGGAGGCAGCAGUGGGGAAUAUUGGACAAUGGGCGGAAGCCUGAUGCAGCGACGCCGCGUGGGGGAUGACGGCCUUCGGGUUGUAAACUCCUUUCGACCGCGAGGAAGCCACCUGGUUGGAAGGGUGGUGACGGUAGUGGUAGAAGAAGCACCGGCUAACUACGUG